GAUGAACGCUGGCGGCGUGCCUAAUACAUGCAAGUCGAGCGAACAGACGAGGAGCUUGCUCCUCUGACGUUAGCGGCGGACGGGUGAGUAACACGUGGAUAACCUACCUAUAAGACUGGGAUGACUUCGGGAAACCGGAGCUAAUACCGGAUAAUAUAUUGAACCGCAUGGUUCAAUAGUGAAAGACGGUUUUGCUGUCACUUAUAGAUGGAUCCGCGCCGCAUUAGCUAGUUGGUAAGGUAACGGCUUACCAAGGCAACGAUGCGUAGCCGACCUGAGAGGGUGAUCGGCCACACUGGUACUGAGACACGGUCCAGACUCCUACGGGAGGCAGCAGUAGGGAAUCUUCCGCAAUGGGCGAAAGCCUGACGGAGCAACGCCGCGUGAGUGAUGAAGGUCUUCGGAUCGUAAAACUCUGUUAUUAGGGAAGAACAAAUGUGUAAGUAACUAUGCACGUCUUGACGGUACCUAAUCAGAAAGCCACGGCUAACUACGUG
rnacentral:rRNA from 1 species